AGUACGAUACCAAAUCACAUUGAGUUGCUUACAAGUCACUAUGGUGAUCUCAGGUCUGGGAGACACUUAUGCUUAUAUGCUUCGUGAGAAACUCUCGAUAGUAGAGUAUUCAGUAAGUGUGUCACUUGUUCAGUGAUGAUGUACUCUUACAUCUCACUUGUAUGCCAUACCAGUAUCUCCACACUCCUUGGUUAAAAGGAUAACCAAUCUAUAUGGCAC
rnacentral:lncRNA from 1 species